rnacentral:ncRNA from 2 species
AAUAUCGUAUGAUGAAUAGGUUCCUUUCUUAAGCUUUAAGAAGGAUGAAAAGGGAAGUUCGGAAAAACCGACGCGGUCCCGCCACUGUAAAUGGAAGUAUUCCACAAAUAGGCCACUGUCAAAUGAUGGGAAGGCGUGGAACUACAAAGCCCUAAGCCAGGAGACCUGCCUAUUUUUAUCAAAACGG